CAACUUCCGAGGCGCCCUCAUUGCCAGCCGGACCCCAGCCUCCGACAGGUUCGGGCGCCCUGCUUGCCCCGUGCUUCGCCGGCCCCCGCCCAGCGCCCGGCCCCUCCGGCUCCACUCCGCUCGCUCGGUCGGUCGCUCCGACGCCAUGGACACGUUUUGGUGGCGCGCAGCUUGGGGACUCUGCCUCGUGCAGCUGAGCCUGGCGCAGAUCGAUCUGAAUAUAACCUGCCGAUAUGCAGGCGUAUUCCACGUGGAGAAGAAUGGUCGCUACAGCAUCUCCAAGACUGAGGCUGCCGACCUCUGCAAGGCCUUCAAUAGCACGCUGCCCACCAUGGCCCAGAUGGAGGUGGCCCGGAGCAUAGGGUUUGAGACCUGCAGGUACGGGUUCAUAGACGGGCAUGUGGUGAUUCCCCGGAUCCACCCCAAUUCCAUCUGUGCUGCGAACAACACAGGGGUUUACAUCCUCACAUCCAACACCUCCCAGUAUGACACGUACUGCUUCAAUGCCUCAGCUCCACUUGGAGAAGACUGUACCUCAGUCACGGACCUGCCCAAUGCCUUUGAAGGACCCAUUACCAUAACUAUUGUAAACCGCGAUGGCACCCGUUAUACCAAGAAAGGCGAAUACAGAACGAACCCCGAAGACAUCAACCCCAGCAUCGUGAGCCCCAGCAGCCCUCCUGAUGAUGAGAUGAGCAGUGGCUCCCCCAGCGAGAGAAGCACGUCAGGAGGCUACAGCAUCUUCCACACGCACCUCCCAACUGCGUACCCACCCCCAGACCAAGACAGCCCCUGGGUCUCCAGCAAACCAGAGAAUACCUCGGAUACCACUCAGAUACUAAAGCAAGUCACCGCAACAGGUACGGAUUCAAGUAUCAUCUCAGCAGGCUGGGAGCCAACUGAAGAAAAUGAAGAUGAAAGAGACAGACACCCCAGUUAUUCUGGAUCAGGCAUUGAUGAUGAUGAAGAUUUUAUCUCCAGCACCAUUUCAACCACACCACGGGUUUUUACCCACCCACAACAGAACCCGAAUUGGAUCCAAAGGAACCCAGACCAUUCGAAUCCAGAAGCAUCACCUCAGACAACCACAAGGAUGACUGAUGUGGACAGAAGUAGCACCAGUGCUUAUGGAGAACGCUGGACCCAGGAACCGCACUCUUCUCUCAGUCACCAUGGGUAUCAGGAUGAAGAGGAGACCCCGCAUCCUACAAGCACAACCCAGGCACCCACUACUAGUACAGCAGAAGAAACAGCUACCCAGAAAGAGCAGUGGUUUGAGAAUGGAAGGCCUGGGGAAUAUCCCCAAACACCAAAAGAAGACUCUCAUUCAACAGCAGGGACAACUGUCACAGCAGCCUCAACGCAUGUCAGCCAUCCCCGUCAAAGAGUGACAACGCAGAGCCAAGAGGACAGUUCCUCGACUUACUUCUUCGACCCAGUCUCGCAUCCAAUGGGGCGAGGUCAUCGAACAAAAGGAAGGAUGGAUACAGACACCAGCCCUAGUACAACGCUUCAGCCUUCUGCAGAUCCAAACACGAGUUCGGUGGGAGACUUGGACAGGACAGGACCUCUCUCAAUGACAACUCAUAGGAACGAUGGAAGAAGAGGUGGAAAUCUUCCUGAAGAUGCAACUACUUCAGUGGAAGGUUACACUCAUUCUCCAGAUACAAAUGAAUACACAACCCUCACCCCAAUGACCCCCACUAAGACUGGGUCCCCUGGAGUUACUGAAGUUACUGUUGUUGGAGAUUCCACCUCUAAGGCUGAUCUUACUUUACCAGGAGACUAUGGCUCGUCCCACGACCCCAGUGGAAGGUCCUAUACAACUCAUGCAUCUGAAUCAGCUGGACACUCAAGUGGGAGUGAAGACCAUGGGGCAAACACAACCUCAGGUCCUAUACGGAAACCUCAAAUUCCGGAAUGGCUGAUCAUCUUGGCAUCUCUCCUGGCCUUGGCUUUGAUUCUCGCGGUUUGCAUUGCUGUCAACAGUAGGAGAAGGUGUGGGCAGAAGAAAAAACUGGUGAUCAACAAUGGGAAUGGAACCAUGGAGGAGAGAAAGCCUAGCGGACUCAACGGAGAAGCUAGCAAGUCUCAGGAGAUGGUGCAUUUGGUGAACAAGGGGUCGUCAGAGACCCCAGACCAGUUUGUGACGGCAGAUGAGACACGGAACCUGCAGAAUGUGGAUAUGAAGAUUGGGGUGUAACACCUACUCUGUGACCUUGGAAAUAAACCACCAUUGGAGACACAACCAUUACAGGGAGCUGGGACACUUCACAGAUGCAGUGUGCUACUGAUUGUUUCAUUGGGGAUCUUUUUUUUUAGCA
rnacentral:lncRNA from 1 species